rnacentral:rRNA from 1 species
GGGGGGGGGUGGGGGCGGGGGGAGGAGAGGCGGGGCGGACGGCAAGGCCCUGCUGGGGGGGGGUGCGCGGGUGGCGGGUGGGUGAGUCGCGCGUGAGUCGCCGUGCCUUUACUUUUGUAUAACUUCAGGUACCGGGGGCUCAUCCCGGUUAGGCGCGCCGGCUGCAUGGUGGGGGGUGGACUGUUUCGGCGGUUGGGGAUGGACUCGCGGCUUGUCAGAUUGUUGGUGGGGGAGUGGCUUACCAAGGCUUUGACGGGUAGCCGGCCUGAGAGGGUGACCGGCAACAUUGGGACUGAGAGACGGCCCAGACUCAUACGGGAGGAAGAAGGGGGGAAUAUUGAACAAUGGGCGGAAGCCUGAUGCAGCAACGCCGCGUGCGGGAUGACGGCCUUCGGGUUGUAAACCGCUUUCGCCUGUGACGAAGCGUGAGUGACGGUAAUGGGUAAAGAAGCACCGGCUAACUACGUG